rnacentral:rRNA from 1 species
AUGCAUGCCCUUAGCAUGAAGUCAGACAAGAG